CCUACGGGUGGCAGCAGUGGGGAAUAUUGCACAAUGGGGGAAACCCUGAUGCAGCGACGCCGCGUGAGUGCAGAAGUAAUUCGUUAUGUAAAGCUCUAUCAGCAGGGAAGAAAAUGACGGUACCUGAGUCAGAAGCCCCGGCUAACUACGUGCCAGCAGCCGCGGUAAUACGUAGGGGGCAAGCGUUAUCCGGAUUUACUGGGUGUAAAGGGAGCGUAGACGGCAGUGCAAGUCUGAAGUGAAAGGCGGGGCUCAACCCCCGGACUGUUCUGGAAACUGUACGGCUGGAGUGCAGGAGAGGUAAGUGGAAUUCCUAGUGUAGCGGUGAAAUGCGUAGAUAUUAGGAGGAACACCAGUGGCGAAGGCGGCUUACUGGACUGUAACUGACGUUGAGGCUCGAAAGCGUGGGGAGCAAACAGGAUUAGAUACCCUAGUAGUC
rnacentral:rRNA from 1 species